GGUUUAUUUGGAUUUAAUAAAGCACCUAUCCAAGCUUGCGUUGCUGUAUAAAUGAUAAAGCACAACAAAGGGUAGAUAUCUUCAAUGUAGAUGGCAAGAGCUCUAUCAAGCAGGACAUAUUGCCCAAAUAACAAUACAAGAGAGUAUAUGACACAAACAUAACAUCAAAAUAAAACAGUAACUUAAUGUGAUUGUUUAAUGAAAAAAUUAAACAAAAACCCAGGAUCUCAUAACUAGCCAUCUUCUAAUCUUUCACCCCGCUCAUCCUAGAAAUGCUCAGGCAAUUAUAUGUGCUGUGCAGUAUGGCCUGAAAGUUAACAAAUGAGGACACUGUUGAGCCAAUGGGGGUAAUGAAUUACAGAGCUGAAAACAAACCCGGAUGGAAAAUGCCUUGCAUUCAGCUCCUUCUUUUAAACCAUGGGACUGUCAAUUCUAGAACGUCUGCUGACUGCAGCUGUCAUGGUAUCAUCUAGGAAGAAAGAUCUCAUGAUUGCAAAAGGACUCAUGAUUUUUGCAUGCUUUGAGUUAGCAUUAAUAAACAUACAUCACCUCUAACUGGAGAGACCACCAGAAGUCUCUGAGGAAAGUACAGUAUCUGAACAUACUCAGCCUGCCAACCAAGUGGAAGAUUGUGGCAAGAACCAUAAGGCAAAGUUCACAAGCAUUUGUAAGGUGUUCAGAAUAAGCAACUACAAAAAAACAGAUUUUGCUGGUUACAACUUUCAGUCAAGAAAAGCUAUUGUUGACCAAUGGCCAGGAAGUUUGCAAAUCACUCUGUAAAAUCUCUCAGUGUCACACAUGAAAGAAGCCUCAGCCUCCCACAUGAGAGAAGCAAAGAACAGCACACAGGAGUUUUGUUGUGUGCCUGUCAUAAUGUUGCCCCAGUAAAUGAUUCCUCUUGAUCCAGAUUUAAUCCAAUAAAGAAGACAGAAUAAGA